AAAAGUAGGUAACUGUAGUGGACCCUUUUAAAUGAAAGAAUGCAUAGUGGUAUAAUAACGGUGCCCCGCCCACCUCUGUGGGUGUGAGCCUGGCCUGUUGUCACUGUGGGUGGGUAGCACUUCACGCUACCCUGACUUCCUGACUUCAGCUCCGGUCUGUGAGUUGUGCAGGAAACUGAGUAGCUGCAUAUGUACUAGUACAAAGCUCUCUCUCACUCACUCAGCUCACUCAGCCCAUUGAUCGUUUGCACUGCAUGCAAGCGUGUCUUCACUAAAUCCACUUCACUUCUAGCCAUUCAUCCUCACUCGUUCAGUUGGUUUCGGGUAGUCUUGAUGCGAACAACUUUACUGCUUAUAUGUGCGGACUUACUCAAAUGCAACCAUCCUUUUCUUAGGGAUUGACAAAUGACAAUACACUUCAUUACCAGGCCUUUUUGUUCAUACACAUGUAGUUUGACUGGAACCUUGCUCACAUGUUGAUUUCUGCCAGAAAGCCUCUUGUUGUAAAAACUUUUACAUGAAUUGAUAAUUUGAAUUUUUCUCUCUCUUUCGAUCAUCAUCUGCUGCGUGCAUCCUGAACGGUAUCUUGGGACCUACUCUGGUUCUUAUGUGGAUUUAACCUCUCAUCUUGCUCCUCUCAUUGCGCUUUGGAUGCGUCACCAUGCCUGCUUACACCGGUGCAGCGAAUAAACCGAAAGAGAUGGAGGGUUAUGUUGGAUUCGCCAACCUUCCAAACCAGGUGUACAGGAGAUCCGUGAAGAGAGGCUUUGAGUUCACUCUCAUGGUAGUCGGUGAAUCUGGUCUUGGUAAAAGCACACUGAUCAACUCGCUAUUCCUCACAGAUAUCUACUCAGGGGAUUUCCCUGGACCAUCACAACGUAUCAAGAAAACAGUCAAGGUUGAAACAUCACAGGCCAACUUGAAGGAGAAUGGAGUUCAACUCAGGCUUACCAUUGUAGACACACCAGGUUUUGGGGACCAAGUAGACAACAGCAAUUGUUGGGCACCGAUCUUGGAUCACAUAGACAGCAAAUUUGAGGAGUACCUGAAUUCAGAGUCGAGAGUGAACAGAUAUUCAAUACCAGACAAAAGAGUACAAUGCUGUCUGUACUUCAUAGCACCUUCAGGUCAUGGGUUGAAGCCACUGGACAUAGAGUUCAUGAAGAGGUUACAUGACAAGGUUAAUAUUAUCCCACUCAUAGCCAAGGCAGAUACACUCACGCCAGAGGAGUGCAGAGAAUUCAAGAAAAGGAUAAUGGCUGAAAUAAACGAACACAAGAUCAAGAUCUACGAAUUCCCUGACAUCGAAGAAGAAGAAGACGAAAACAAGGAAAAUAAACGUCUAACACAACGGAGGAAUGGCCCUAAAGAGAAAGAAACUUCUCCAAACAGUCUGAAGGAACGGGUUCCAUUUGCAGUCGUUGGUAGCAACCACAUUAUGGAGGUCAGCGGGAAGCGGGUCAGAGGUCGACAGUACCCAUGGGGAAUUGCUGAAGUCGAGAACCUGGAUCACUGUGAUUUCAUUCCUCUGCGUAACAUGCUGAUCAGAACGCACAUGCAAGACCUCAAAGAUGUCACCAACAACGUCCACUAUGAGAACUUCAGGUGUCGCAAGCUCACCGCCGUCACGUCGGGAGAUGCAAAGAGAAGUGGAAAGUCUAGCUCUAAGAACCCCAUCGCUCAGUUUGAGGAGGAGAAGCUGGAGCAUGAUAAGAAGAUGAGGAAGAUGGAGUCCGAGAUGGAGCAAGUCUUUGAGAUGAAGGUCAAGGAGAAGCAAAAGGGAUUGGAAGACUCAGAAGCCGAUAUGCAAAAACGCUUAGAACAGAUGAAGAAGGGUCUGGAACAGCAGCAGCGUGACAUGGACGAGAAGAGGAGAAACUUUGAGAAGGAAAAGGAAGCAUUCGACGAGAACCAACGUAUUAGGGACGAACAACAUAAAGGAUCAAAGAAAGGAGGACUGUGGGCCAUGCAAAUUGCAUUCCACAGGAAGAAGAGCAUUCUCAUGAAACCACCCAAGCUCUUCAGCAGUACUGCCGAUUGACAGCGCCCUCUGUAGGUCGCGGGGAAACAACACUAACACCUUUUUUGUGGAUAAAAAAAAGCAAAAGAGAAUUCAUCAUACACAUCACUACCAUCACAUCACCUCAUGCGCUUUGUGCGCAACCGUAGUUUGACGUCAAGCCUUCCCCGCGACAGAAAUCUCCCCGUGCUGUUUUAUUCGACACUGGAUCCGAAAAAGGCCAAAGGAAAGAAAACUAUAUUCUGAAGACGGUCAUCCAGUCAUCGCAAUCUCCAAGAUAUUUUUUUUCUUCUUUUGUACAUUUUUCUACGUCCAGGAACUCUGUUAUCCCUUUAUGUGGUAAGAAAUGUCAUUACUGCUGCCUAGUGCAUAUUUUGUCCUCAAACGAUCACAGCACUGCUAGCUCUGAGGUCUACGUAUUAAGAUAAUUAGGCUCUGAGAGAAGGAACGGGACGAUAUGUUUUUAAUACGAAAUCUAGUCAUUAGUUAAUUAAUGGAUAAAUUGUUCAUCAUUCCCAUGCUUGUGAGAGCCUUGCAUGAUUUCAUUAUCUUUUUGAUCGCUAGGAAAACCAUUUUUUCAAUUGAGUUAAGUCAUCUUUUGAUGAGCACUUUCGUUUGUACUUUGAACUUUAUGAUUACCAUAUAAAAAAAGGUAUGUUUUCGCUUCAGUUUCAUCACGUCUAAUAUUUGUUCUAAAUUUUUCUAAAAGUGAUGGCAGGAAAGCAUUUCUCCAUUUUUAAAAACUUGUGCUGAAUCAGUGAAAAAACAAAUCCCCAAUGAACCGAAAACAUGUACAUUAUUUUGGCAUUUUUAGAGGUGAAAUAAAGUUAAUUAGGAAAAAGAAUUGCGUCUAUUAUUUUCAAAUCUGUGGCCCAGGUAACUCUAAUUGGUAAGGUUAUGUAUUGAUAUAGUCGGAAGUAAAAGAUCUCUAGAGAAUCUACUAUGUAAGAUUAUGUAUUUGUUAUUUUAGGGCUGUUCUUUUUCUAAUUAUUUUCAACGAUAUCAUACCUCAGUGCAGCUUAAGCCAUUAUUCCAGUCAUGGAUUAUUUUUCUCUUUGCCUAUUUUUUUUUCUCACUCCUGCUUUUCUUGGAAAGAUAAGAAAUAGGGGUAGUUAUUACAGUAUGGUGCUCUUUUCUGCUUUCCAAACUGUUUUUAGACAGACUAUUUUGUUCUUCUGAAUUUUUAGAUAGGGUGGAAGCAACCAAGCAGUGUCAGGGAUAAUGGAUGACAUUCUGUCGUGGUGUUAGUGUUUGACACUGAAUACCAAAUUGGAUGUCAAAUCAUCAUUUAGGUGUUACAGACAACACUAAGUUGACACCAACACCAAACCUGAAAUCGCCCAUUACUGUUGUAUUGUAGAUAUUUUCAAGACCAUCGCUUUUUAUAUGUUCUACCACAAUGGUUAUAAGUUACUUUAGUAUGUAUGUAUCAGAAACUAUUCUCUUGUUCUCCUGUAUCCAUAGCAACUAAUAUAGGCGUCGGCAUGUUGUUAUUUUUUUUGUAUGACUCCGUAUUUCAUAAUCCUAAUGGCAGUAUAGUUGACACAAUAAAAAAACCUCUCUAGAAAUCAUGUAUAGUUUCUACAAGGAGUCAUAACUUAAAUUCCCUUUUUCGGAGAACAAUUGAAUAACACAUGUGCCUAUGGUAUUUAUUAUUUUUUAUUAAACGAUGAUGACUAUGUGCUUGUAUAGAUUGAAUGUUGUGUACCUCUCCAAUAUAUGUAUGCAUCUAUUUUAUAACUUGUCUUUACUAUCCAAAUGUCUGUAGCAAAGAGAAAAUGUACAUGUAGAUAGAGUGCAGACAUUAUAGAACAAAAAACAAAAAUAGCAUUUUAGGCUUUUAUACGACAGUGGUUACAAAUAAUAGUGGACGUAGCGUCAAGAUAGAGUUGGCGUUAUUUUACUGGAGUAUAUACAUAUGUGUACAUAUCAUGUAAUUUAAAUUGCAAGGUUGCUUAGGCCCUCUGUUGGGCCUUUCCAACACCAUUUUUUUUUUUAUUUGUGGGACUAACAUGACUGCAUUUAUAAAUGAAACCGGCCAAAAAGUAAUUUUUGUUUUCUUUGUUUUUUCAUUGGAAUGUAUUUUUAUUGCACUUUUUUGUUUUAAUAGCUUUACAGAAAUGGAUAAUCUAUUGAAAUGCUGCUUUUGUUAUAAUAUUUGAUUUGUAGGGGGGAAAAGGUGAAUUGGUGUAGGUUUUGUGUUGUAAUUUUAUACGCACGUGGUUUCAAAUAGACUUGUACCUCACUGAAGAAACCUGCAAAGGGAAGUUCAACGUCAACGGAGGAAAUGGGAAAGGAUCGUGACAUAUCAACUCUUCCAGUAGUUUACACCAAUGAAGCGAUUGCCCUCGUCAUCAAAAACCAAUUUCAUCUGAAUUAUGCAACGUAAAAUUAGGCCAUAUUACAAUACUUCAUUUUUGUCUUCUUCAAGUAAUCUACUUCAUAACAUGGUGAUGGGUAUGAAAAUAAUAGUUGUGAUAUAUCUCAAAAACAAUUAGACAGAAUUUUCCAAGUGAUCUUAUUUUUUAUGAAAAAUAAGUUAUGACAAUAUUCUAAUCUAAUCUAAUCUUAAUUUUGUAUGUGGAAUACAUUCAAUAUUUGUAUACAUGAUAAAAUAUCCCUUAUGUCUUGUACGUACAAAAGUCAUGUACAUAUGAUAUGAACCACCAAGAGUAUGGACUAAAAAAACAAAACUGUUUGACAAACUAUGAUUGAAUAAAGUAUCCCAUGUUAUACGUUCAA